AUUAACAAAAAUUGAACCUCUCUCUGUGAAGUUCUUGAUGAUGCGAUAAAUGGUUGAUUUAGGUGCAAUCUUUGUAGCAGCAAUAUCCUUGCCUGUGAAUUCCUUUUU